rnacentral:rRNA from 1 species
CCUGGCUCAGGACGAACGCUGGCGGCGUGCCUAAUACAUGCAAGUAGAACUCACAGUAUAUACCGUAGCUUGCUACACCAUAGACUGUGAGUUGCGAACUGGUGAGUAACUCGUAUGUAACCUGCCUGUUAGCGUUGGAUAACUAUUGGAAACGAUAUCUAAUACCGCAUAAUAUUAAGUAUUGCAUGAUAAUUGAUUGAAAGGUGCAAUUGCACCACUACCAGAUGGACCUGCGUUGUAUUAGCUAGUAGGUGAGGUAACGGCUCACCUAGGCGACGAUACAUAGCCGACCUGAGAGGGUGAUCGGCCACACUGGGACUGAGACACGGCCCGGACUCCUACGG